rnacentral:rRNA from 1 species
UACGGGAGGCAGCAGUGGGGAAUAUUGCACAAUGGGCGCAAGCCUGAUGCAGCCAUGCCGCGUGUAUGAAGAAGGCCUUCGGGUUGUAAAGUACUUUCAGUCGUGAGGAAGGUGUUAAGGUUAAUAACCUUAGCAAUUGACGUUAGCGACAGAAGAAGCACCGGCUAACUCCGUGCCAGCAGCCGCGGUAAUACGGAGGGUGCGAGCAUUAAUCGGAAUUACUGGGCGUAAAGGGCACGCAGGCGGUUAAUUAAGUUGGAUGUGAAAUCCCCGGGCUUAACCUGGGAAUGGCAUUCAAGACUGGUUAGCUAGAGUCUUGUAGAGGGGGUAGAAUUCCAUGUGUAGCGGUGAAAUGCGUAGAGAUGUGGAGGAAUACCGGUGGCGAAGGCGGCCCCUGGACAAAGGCUGACGCUCAUGUGCGAAAGCGUGGGGAGCAAACAGGGAUUAGAUACC